UGGAUAAUACACCAAAAUCUUACUAAAAUUUGUUAUUUUCCAGUUUGUAUACCACUAUUGAAGUAAUUAUUAAAAAUAAUUAUUUAAAUUUUUUUUAAAAAUUAAUUUAAGUCAUGGUGCAGCUAAAAUUUUAGAAUGAAGUGAAUUACAUUUCUUUAUAGAAAUUUAAAAUUUAAAACAAAAAUUAGGAUUUGAAAGUAAAAAUUCAAUAUAAUGGUUUUUUGAAUUUAGCUCUAAAACAUGUA
rnacentral:rRNA from 1 species